rnacentral:rRNA from 1 species
UACAGAGGUCCCAAGCGUUGUUCGGAUUCACUGGGCGUAAAGGGUGCGUAGGUGGCUACUUUAAGUUUGAUGUGAAAGCUCCGGGCUCAACCCGGAAAUGACAUUGAAGACUAUUGAGCUAGAGGUUUGGAGGGGGGACUGGAAUGCUUGGUGUAGCAGUGAAAUGCGUAGAUAUCAAGCGGAACACCAGUGGCGAAGGCGACCACCUGGACUGAUACUGACACUGAGGUGCGAAAGCGUGGGGAGCAAACAGG